rnacentral:rRNA from 1 species
CAGUCGCCACGGUAAGACAGAGGAUGCAAGCGUUAUCCGGAAUGAUUGGGCGUAAAGGGCGCGUAGGCGGACUGAUAAGUCAGGGGUGAAAUCCCAAGGCUCAACCUUGGAACUGCCUUUGAUACUGCUUGUCUUGAGUUCGAGAGAGGUAAGUGGAACUGCGAGUGUAGAGGUGAAAUUCGUAGAUAUUCGCAAGAACACCAGUGGCGAAGGCGGCUUACUGGCUCGAAACUGACGCUGAGGCGCGAAAGCGUGGGGAGCAAACAGGAUUAGAUACCCCUGUAGUCCCUGUCUCUUAUAC